rnacentral:lncRNA from 1 species
AAUCUCUAAGGGCGUUGGAAGCUGAGUUCUCCAUAUCAUCGUGGUCGAAUGCUGCUGUAGGAGCCUCCAGUUUGCUCUUGUUUCCCACAUGCCUGCCCCUUUGCAAUAUGAUUUUGCUCCUCUUCCUAUUGAGAGGUAGAGGCUAGUUCUGUACCCCUUGAAUCUGGGCUCGGCUACACGACCUUUUAUGGCCAAUGGGAUGAUAUUGGCCAAAAUGUGCCACAAGCAGAGUCUGUUGCUGCUGGGAACCUUCCUGCAACCGUGUGCACCAGCCUGGCCUAGACUCCUGGAGGACAAGACUCCAUGGAAAGAGGCUCCAGCCGUACCCAUGGUCUCAGCACUGCAUUCAAAGCCCGGGAGAGCGGAGAAGAAGAUAGCCAAAUGGGAAAAAUGCAGAUCAGCAGUGGCUGCUGGCAGGCACACAUGGACACACGCCGCCCGGACUCACGGGUAUUCUUCCCC